CGGUUUUUAUUAGGAUACCUCGGGAACUGAGGAUAAAACCUAAUAGGAGAUUUUUUCUGGAAUGAAUUAUCUUUGAAACUUUGGUCUAAGAAGGAGGCUGCGGUGGAUUAGGUUGUUGGCGAGGUAAAUGCCCACCAAGCCAUUGAUCCAUAAGGGCUCUUAGCGGAGAGGCCCUGAGAGGGAGUCUGAGACACUACUCCCAGCCCUACGGGGUGCAGCAGCUGGGGAACUUUUCCAAUGCGCGCAAGCGUGAGAAAGUAAGUCAGAGUGUUUUUCAUAUAAUUUGAAAAACUUUUGUUUGUUGUAAAAAGACAGACGAAUAAGGACUGGGCAAGACCGGUGCCAGCCGCCGCGGUAAUCCCGGCGGUCCGAGUCGCAGCCACAAUUAUUGGGUCUAAAACAUUCGUAGCUUGUUUUAUAAGUUUCUUGUGAAAUCCUGAUUCUCAAGAUCAGGGCGUGCAGGAGAUACUGUAAGACUAGGGACUGGAAGAAGCAAAGAGUACAUUUGAGGUAGCGGUAAAAUGUUUUAAUCUUAGAUGGACUAACAAUAGCGAAGGCACUUUGCUAGUACAGAUCUGACAGUGAGGAAUGAAGGCUAGGGUCGCGAAACGGAUUAGAUACCCGUGUAGUCCUAGCAGUAAACACUGCCCACUAAACAUUGGUAUCUCCUCGAGAGGCAUCAGUGCUGUAGCGAAGGCGAAGAGUGGGCUACCUGGGAAGUAUAGUCGCAAGACCGAAACUUAAAGGAAUUGGCGGGGGAGCAC
rnacentral:rRNA from 1 species